rnacentral:rRNA from 1 species
UACGUAGGUGGCAAGCGUUGUCCGGAUUUACUGGGCGUAAAGAGCGCGCAGGCGGUCGUGCAAGUCGCGUGUGAAAGCCCCCGGCUCAACUGGGGAGGGUCACGCGAUACUGCUCGACUCGAAGGCAGGAGAGGGAAGUGGAAUUCCCGGUGUAGUGGUGAAAUGCGUAGAUAUCGGGAGGAACAUCAGUGGCGAAGGCGACUUCCUGGCCUGUUCUUGACGCUGAGGCGCGAAAGCUAGGGUAGCAAACGGG